GUCUAUGGCCAUGCUACCCUGAACAAGCCCUAUUCCUUCUGAUCUUAGAAGCUAAGCAGGGUUGGGCUUGGUUAGUACUUAAAUGGGAGACCACUUAGGAAGUCCAGGUGCUGUAGGUG
rfam:Pteropus alecto contig6841, whole genome shotgun sequence.